GGGUUUCGACUGAUCGGGCUCGGCCCGAUCCUCCCACCCUUUGUGUACCUACCUCUGUUGCUUUGGCGGGCCGCGGUCCUCCGCGGCCGCCCCCCUCCCCGGGGGGGUGGCCAGCGCCCGCCAGAGGACCAUCAAACUCCAGUCAGUAAACGAUGCAGUCUGAAAAACAUUUAAUAAACUAAAACUUUCAACAACGGAUCUCUUGGUUCUGGCAUCGAUGAAGAACGCAGCGAAAUGCGAUAAGUAAUGUGAAUUGCAGAAUUCAGUGAAUCAUCGAAUCUUUGAACGCACAUUGCGCCCUUUGGUAUUCCGAAGGGCAUGCCUGUUCGAGCGUCAUUACAACCCUCAAGCUCUGCUUGGUAUUGGGCACCGUCCUUUGCGGGCGCGCCUCAAAGACCUCGGCGGUGGCGUCUUGCCUCAAGCGUAAUAGAACAUACAUCUCGCUUCGGAGCGCAGGGCGUCGCCCGCCGGACGAACCUUCUGAACUUUUCUCAAGGUUGACCUCGGAUCAGGUAGGGAUACCCGCUGAACUUAAGCAUAUCAAUAAGCGGAGGAACU
rnacentral:rRNA from 1 species